rnacentral:rRNA from 1 species
UACGUAGGGGGCGAGCGUUGUCCGGAGUUACUGGGCGUAAAGCGCACGCAGGCGGUUUCGUACGUCUGGAGUGACAGUUCCCGGCUCAACUGGGAAAGGUCUUUGGAAACGGCGAGACUUGAGGGCUUCAGAGGGACACGGAAUUCCGGGUGGAGUGGUGAAAUGCGUAGAGAUCCGGAGGAACACCAAUGGCGAAGGCAGUGUCCUGGGAAGCACCUGACGCUCAGGUGCGAAAGCUAGGGGAGCGAACAGG